CUGGGGUUAAAUGACCAACAUCCAGCGGGAGAAGUCCUGGGCUGCUGAGAGAAAGGAAAUGCCCAGCGGAGCAGGUGCUGGACCUCGCGCAAGUCUUCCCGAGGAAGCGGGUGAGAAACUGGGACUCUGCUCCGUGGGCAGUGAGAAGCUGAUUGUUGACGAAAGCAUUGUACGUCACCUAUGGAAGAGUCUCAUAGAGGGGAACUAGACCAACGCUGAAGUUGUUCCUACUUCAAGAGGAAGUGAGUGCUGAAUUGGGAAUCAGUCCUGUGUCUCUCCUUGGGUGAGACACUCAGCUAUGCAGAGGAUGAGUAUUCCUUCCUGAAUUAUAAAAUUAAGGAGCUGUUGAAUGCUUCUAAAUUACUUCUGGCUUUUAAUAAUCAAGGGACAAAAUUUAAAAAUUUUCAACCAUCGGGAAAGAAGACUGUGUCAGUCAAAGACUAAAGUACAUUGAAAAAACCAUUCAUGGACGAAUCAUGAUUCGUGAUAUGUUUGCUGGUGAAAGCUUACAAGAAAAGGAGCUAAUAUUACUGGAAACUCGAGAGUGAGAAUCCUUCAGCAGUGAUAUUGUCUACAGCAACUGCAAAGUAGAAAAUUAGUCUAAUGCCCUGAGUGUCUAGCUAAGAAGAUUUCCAAGCAAAGAUUUCUUCUCAUUUCUUAUAGUACAGUGUGAAAGGAGGAAUGUUAAGCAGAAAGGAAAGAGAAUUUGUUGGUUUUGAAAAUUCUCAGUCUCUGUAAAUGGCGAACAAUACUGAAGUUAACAUAGCAUAGCACCUCUGAGUAAAAUUAAAUUCAAGACAGUGCCAGGUGGUCCAGGCCCAUGGGUAUAGCUCAGCGCUGCAGCAAUUGCCCGGGGUUGGUGUGGCUCUGAGUUUAAAGCCUCUGAGUUUGAUCCCCAGCACCCAAAACAAAACAGAGCAAAACAAAAUGUGACUCAAAGAUGAAGCUACACAUAUGACCCUACAAUUUUUUGUCACAAUCUCAGGAAGAUUUAAACUUGUGCUCCAGGGUGCUAUUUAGUCAAACAAAAAGUCUUCUAAAGAGGUUAAAGGUGUGCCUCAAAUACUCAAAAAAAAUCAUGGUGCAAGCUGGGAGUGAGGUUGGGUUAGCCCAUGAUUGUAAUCUCAGUGCUCAGGAGGCUGAGGCAGGAGGAUUGCUGUGAGUUCGAGAUCAGUCUGAGCUACAUAGUGAGUUCCAGGUCAGUCUCAACUACAUAGUGAGACCCUGUCUCAAAAAUCCAAAAAUAAAUAAAUAAAUAAAAUCACAAAAACCCCU
rnacentral:lncRNA from 1 species